UGCCGAGGUUUUCCUCGGCUGUUAACUGCCGCCGGUUUCCUAAAAACUUCGGCAGUUAACUGCCGAGGGACAU
rnacentral:pre_miRNA from 1 species